AAAGAAAAGCAGAAGCGCCCGCUUCUCGCCUUGGUGACUAGAGUCGCCGGGCUGACGAGUUGAAUGAAUCUAGAUUACGGAUGUGAUUUAGUAUUUUCAAGCGGGGUGGUUUGCACCUCGCUUUUUUUGCUUGUU
rfam:Lactobacillus coleohominis 101-4-CHN genomic scaffold supercont1.1, whole genome shotgun sequence.